UACGUAGGUGGCAAGCGUUGUCCGGAUUUAUUGGGUUUAAAGGGUGCGUAGGCGGACAGGUAAGUCAGUGGUGAAAUCUCUGGGCUUAACCCAGAAACUGCCGUUGAUACUAUUUGUCUUGAAUAUCCUGGAGGUAGGCGGAAUAUGUCAUGUAGCGGUGAAAUGCUUAGAUAUGACAUAGAACACCGAUAGCGAAGGCAGCUUACUACAGGAUGAUUGACGCUGAGGCACGAAAGCGUGGGGAGCAAACAGG
rnacentral:rRNA from 1 species